UACGGGGGGGGCAAGCGUUGUUCGGAAUUACUGGGCGUAAAGGGCUCGUAGGCGGCCAACUAAGUCAGACGUGAAAUCCCCAGGCUCAACCUGGGAACUGCGUCUGAUACUGGAUGGCUUGAAUCCGGGAGAGGGAUGCAGAAUUCCAGGUGUAGCGGUGAAAUGCGUAGAUAUCUGGAGGAACACCGGUGGCGAAGGCGGCGUCCUGGACCAAUACUGACACUGAAACGCGAAAGCCAGGGGAGCAAACGGG
rnacentral:rRNA from 1 species